GAUGAACGCUGGCGGCGUGCCUAAUACAUGCAAGUCGAGCGAACAGACGAGGAGCUUGCUCCUCUGACGUUAGCGGCGGACGGGUGAGUAACACGUGGAUAACCUACCUAUAAGACUGGGAUAACUUCGGGAAACCGGAGCUAAUACCGGAUAAUAUAUUGAACCGCAUGGUUCAAUAGUGAAAGACGGUUUUGCUGUCACUUAUAGAUGGAUCCGCGCCGCAUUAGCUAGUUGGUAAGGUAACGGCUUACCAAGGCGACGAUGCGUAGCCGACCUGAGAGGGUGAUCGGCACCACUGGAACUGAGACACGGUCCAGACUCCUACGGGAGGCAGCAGUAGGGAAUCUUCCGCAAUGGGCGAAAGCCUGACGGAGCAACGCCGCGUGAGUGAUGAAGGUCUUCGGAUCGUAAAACUCUGUUAUUAGGGAAGAACAAAUGUGUAAGUAACUAUGCACGUCUUGACGGUACCUAAUCAGAAAGCCACGGCUAACUACGUG
rnacentral:rRNA from 1 species